CUGGAUGAGAUUCUGACAGCCCCUCUGGGGACCCAGGCCAGAUGCCCAGGACACCGGCUGGCCACAGGCCCCUCCUGCAGAGGAAGAGCUGUCCACCCCAGAGAACAUCUAUCUCUCCAGGCCACCAUUCCCAGAAUGACAACUGGCUCCUGCACUUACCACCAUGUGCCACACCCUGAGGGACUGACCGUGUCAACCUGUAGACAGCAUGAG